GACGAACGCUGGCGGCGUGCUUAACACAUGCAAGUCGAACGGAAAGGCCCUGCUUUUGUGGGGUGCUCGAGUGGCGAACGGGUGAGUAACACGUGAGUAACCUGCCCUUGACUUUGGGAUAACUUCAGGAAACUGGGGCUAAUACCGGAUAGGAGCUCCUGCUGCAUGGUGGGGGUUGGAAAGUUUCGGCGGUUGGGGAUGGACUCGCGGCUUAUCAGCUUGUUGGUGGGGGAGUGGCUUACCAAGGGUUUGAAGGGUAGCCGGCCUGAGAGGGUGACCGGCCACAUUGGGACUGAGAUACGGACCAGACUCCUACGGGAGGCAGAAGUGGGGAAUAUUGCACAAUGGGCGGAAGCCUGAUGCAGAGACGCCGCGUGCGGGAUGACGGCCUUCGGGUUGUAAACCGCUUUCGCCUGUGACGAAGCGGGAGUGACGGUAAUGGGUAAAGAAGCACCGGCUAACUACGUG
rnacentral:rRNA from 1 species